UUUUUUAUUUUGGGAUUUUUUUUUUUUUAAGUUUUAGUCUUGCUCUGUCACCCAGGCUGGAGUGCAGUGGUGUGAUCUUGGCUCACUGCAACCUCCGCCUCCCAGGUUCAAGCCAUUCUCAUGCCUCAGCCUCCCAAGUAGAUGGGACUACAGGCGCCACCACACCUGGCUAAGUUUUGCACUUUUAGUAGAGACAGGGUUUCACCAUGUUGGCUGGGCUUGUGUCGAAUCCCUGACCUUAAGUGAUCCUCCUGCCCUUGGCCUCCCAAAGUGCUGGGAUUACAGGCUUGAGCCACCUCGCCCAGCCUGGAAUAAUUUUAUAUUCACAGAACAGUUGUAAAGAGAUUGCAGAGAGUUCCUGAAUUCGAACCCAAGUUCCAACCCUGCACCCAGCUGGCCCUAGUGCUACCAUCUUACAUAAGCACAAUGCAUCUGUCAACACUAAGAAAUUAACACUGGUUUCCUGAGGCCUCCCUGGAAGUAGAAGCUGCUAUGCUUCCUGUACAGCCUGCAGAACCGUGAGUCAAUAAACCUCUCUUCUUUAUAAAUUACCCAGUCUCAGUCUCAGGUAUUUCUUUCUUUCUUUUUUUUUUUCUGAGACGGAGUCUCACUCUGUCCCCAGGCUGGAGUUCAGUGGCACCAUCUCGGCUCACUGCAACCUCCGCCUCCCAGGUUCACACGAUUCUUCUGCUUCAGCUUCCUAAGUAGCUGGGAUUACAGGCGCCCGCCACCAUGCCUGGCUAAUUUUUGUAUUUUUAGUAGAGACGGGGUUUCACUGUGUUGGUCAGGCUGGUCUCGGACUCCUGACCUCGUGAUCCGCCCACCUUGGCCUCCCAGAGUGUUGGGAUUACAGGCGUGAGCCACCGCGCCUGGCCAGGUAUUUCUUUAUAGUAAUGUAAGAACAGCCUAAUGCAGGCCACAUUUUGUUUAUCCAUUCAUCAGUACGGACAUUGGAUGGUCUUCAUCUUUUGGCUAUUGUGAGUAAUGCUGCUGUGAACAUUGCUGGACAAGUUUUUGUCUGAAUGUCCUUUUUAAGUUCUUUGAGUGUAUAACUAGGAGUGGAACUGCUUGCUCACGUGGGUCACCCUGCUCCUUUUUUCUUUUACUUUGCAAUAUUAAGACCCCAUAUUAGUGUGAUACUCUUUCCUAGACUUUUAGUCUAAAUAAUAGUACUUGCUUUGUUUGUUUGUUUUUUUUUAAAGAUGGUCUUGCUCUGUUGCACAGGCUGGAGUGUAGUGUCCCAAUCGUAGCUCACUGAAACCUCAAACUUCCAGACUCAAGGGAUCCUCCUAUCUCAGCCCUCUGAGUAGCUGGGAUUAUAGGCACGUGCCACCAUACCCAGCUAAUUUUUGAAUUUCUUUGUAGGAACAAAGUCUCAUUAUGUUGCUCAGGCUGGUGUCAAACUCCUGGCCUCAAGUAAUCCUCCUCUUCGGCCUCCCAAGGUGCUGGAUAACAAGUGUGAGCCAUCAUGCCUGGCUAAGUCUUCAGUGAAUACAUCUAAAUAAAUAUAUUUUGGGUUUUUUGUUUUGUUUUGUUUUGUUUUUUGUUUCGUUUCUGAGACAGGGUCUCAUUCUGUUGCCCAGUGUGGAGUGCAAUGGUGCAGCCUCGGCUCACUGCAGCCUCCACCCUCUGGGCUCAAGUGAUCCUUCCACCUCAGCAUCCCGAGUAGCUGAGACUACAGGCAUGUACCACCAUGCCUGGCUAAUUUUUGUAUUUUUUGGUAUAGAUAGGGUAAUGCCAUGUUGUUCAGGCUGGUUUUAAAUUCCUGGGCUCAAGUGAUCCUUCUGCCUUGGCUUUCUAAAGUGCUGGGAUUCCAGGCAUGAGCCACCAUGUCCGGCCUGAAUAAAUAUAUUUUGAAUAAAUGAAUGGAUGAUAUUAGUUGAGGCAACCCUUAAUAACAAAGACUACCAAGACAUUUAUUGGUCUAGUGAAUGGCUUUGUAUCUUAUUAACUGUAACAUUUGAAUACGUUUGAAACUUUGUUAUAUAUGUGACAUAAAUUCUGGGCAUAUAAUUAAAUUUCUAC
rnacentral:lncRNA from 10 species